rnacentral:lncRNA from 1 species
UUCAAUAUGCUAGAACAAAGACACCGUAACAUAGCCAUAUAAGUAAAAAAAACUAAGUCAACGUCCAUAGCAUAUUUAACAGAAUCAUCCAACCAAACUUAUAUGUAUUCAAACGAAUUAAUCUCGAGAACCAAUAUAAAAUCCAAAUAAUACGCAACCAGUACACAAUUAAUAUUAAAGAGAUCAAGUAUUUUUCAUAGAGCAAAUGACUUCUAACAUGAGAAAAUGAAAAGACUAAUAUAUCAAAGCAAGUGUAUACUUAAAAUGUAAAUAAAUAUUGACAAAAUGGAUUCGAAUGGACCUUUAUAUUGAAGGAAUAAGCCAAAAUUUGCAACUCAAUCGGAAUAACAAAGCAAAAAUUAUUAGACUGAAACGCUAAAAUUGCGAACCGAAAUCUCGAAUCGACACAGGAAAACUCGAAACCAAAACAUGACCUCAAUCAAACUUCAUGAGCUGAGGUCAAUAUGGUUAACCCAGUGCUGGUAGUAACGAUAACGCGGAACGAAGGGAUGAUGCAUAAUAAAGAAGAAGAAAUCUUGCCAACAAAAUCUGUAGGAGAAGAAAUCAUGGCUUAUACGGAUUGAGUAGGUGUGAAAAUGAAUUGUUCAAAUGGAAGUAAAGAUUGAAGAUUCGUAUGGUUUAAGGAAUUGGAAUUUGUGGGACAACUGUUCGCCGUAGAUAUUGAAAAGCGUUGUUGACCUUGAAAAAUUUGUUUUGGCCAGUGCUCUCUUUCUCUUAAGGGUGUAGGUGGCUGGAAUAUUUCAAGGGAGGUGGUGGGUGAGGCCUUGGAGACUAAGGUUUCUUGAAUGAAUUUUUGGACCAUGCCGUUCUUUACUUUUUAGGGAAUUAGAAAUUAGGUUAGCAUUUUUUGGGGAAGUCCCC